rnacentral:rRNA from 1 species
UACGUAGGGUGCGAGCGUUAAUCGGAAUUACUGGGCGUAAAGCGUGCGCAGGCGGUUUGUUAAGCCAGAUGUGAAAGCCCCGGGCUCAACCUGGGAACUGCGUUUGGUACUGGCAGGCUGGAGUAUGGUAGAGGAAGGUGGAAUUCCCGGUGUAGCAGUGAAAUGCGUAGAGAUCGGGAGGAACACCAGUGGCGAAGGCGGCCUUCUGGACCAAUACUGACGCUCAUGCACGAAAGCGUGGGGAGCAAACAGG